rnacentral:rRNA from 1 species
CCCGAAAAACCCUAGUCUCAGUUCGGAUCGGAGUCUGCAACCCGACUCCGUGAAGCUGGAUUCGCUAGUAAUCGCGCAUCAGCCAUGGCGCGGUGAAUACGUUCCCGGGCCUUGUACACACCGCCCGUCAAGCCAUGGGAGCCGGGAGUGCCUGAAGUCCGUGACCGCGAGGGUCGGCCUAGGGUGAAACCGGUGAUUGGGGCUAAGUCGUAACAAGGUAGC